AUUGAACGCUGGCGGCAUGCUUUACACAUGCAAGUCGAACGGUAACAGGCCGCAAGGUGCUGACGAGUGGCGAACGGGUGAGUAAUGCAUCGGAACGUGCCCAGUCGUGGGGGAUAACGCAGCGAAAGCUGCGCUAAUACCGCAUACGAUCUAUGGAUGAAAGCGGGGGACCGUAAGGCCUCGCGCGAUUGGAGCGGCCGAUGUCAGAUUAGGUAGUUGGUGGGGUAAAGGCUCACCAAGCCGACGAUCUGUAGCUGGUCUGAGAGGACGACCAGCCACACUGGGACUGAGACACGGCCCAGACUCCUACGGGAGGCAGCAGUGGGGAAUUUUGGACAAUGGGCGCAAGCCUGAUCCAGCAAUGCCGCGUGCAGGAAGAAGGCUUUCGGGUUGUAAACUGCUUUUGUACGGAACGAAACGGCUCUGGUUAAUACCCGGGGCUAAUGACGGUACCGUAAGAAUAAGCACCGGCUAACUACGUGCCAGCCGCCGCGGUAACAC
rnacentral:rRNA from 1 species